rnacentral:lncRNA from 1 species
AUUGAGUCUUGACUCUUGUGGCUCUUGUUUUAUCUUGCUGAAAAUUCUCUAAACGAGAAAAGUAAAAAUCACGAUAUUUAUUUUGCUUUCUUAAUUAGUACAAAAUAAUUAACUAAUAAUGACAAGCAAAAGUCAUCUCGCAUAUCGAAUCAGUGAUUGACUGACUGGCAUCACGGCAUUUGGUGUAGAAUAUUCCACAAAAUUAAAUUAGUCUGCAACAGAUUGGUGAAAUUUUUUUUUGUUGAAAGACAUUUCAUCAACUCCGGCGGAGGCCUACGAAAGAUUCCAUUUCUGUGCAUCGAUUGUGAGAAAAUAGGAGGGAUGAGAAAGCCUCCGUCUUGUUAAUGACUUUGUAGUGUGAUGGAAUAAUCCAUUGAAGUGAGGCGGCUGCAAGCCUACCUGUGUCAAGGAUAAUCCUACUUUGAUGGCUUAAUUAAAAGCUUUCUGGCCUCAUCCGGAAUUCAGAUUACGGAAGGACGGAUAAGAGAGGAUGGCAUUUCACUUGUACACAAGCAAACAAACCUCACAUUCUACCACGGACAGCUGGAUGACUCGCAAAUCCUUUCACUGGUGAGCGACGCACCUCUUGUUAAUUCACUCAAAGCUGAUCCAAGUUCUAGUUUCUCUUCUUUUGACGCCUUCGCUUGUUAUACGUGACAUCCUCCGUCGACAUGCAAGUAGCUGGGCGUGUCCUAAACUCCUAUUAACCUUCCCAUCAAAAGAACUGAUUUAGCCUACUGACAACACUGACCAAAUCAGCAUUGCUUCCAUUAUUCUGAUCAAGGUAUAUUACUUGUUCUACAUUUCUUUAUAGUUUUCUUCUUGCUAAUUACCAUAAGUUAACCGGAGUGAUGCGUUACUCAGUUAAUUACAGUUUGAAUAAAGAAAAUUAAGGUAUAUCUAGUGACACAACCACGGAGUUUAACCGCAAAUCAGGGGUAUUUCUUAUAUUUUCUUGGUCUGUUACACUUACACCAGUUGUGUUUAGUUUAAUCUUUUUGUUCCAAUGAAAUGAAAUUGAAAAGGUAAAGCAUUUCUGCGUUGCAACAGUGCAUCCGUAUUUUUCAAUUGCGUACGAGGAAAAGGUCAAAGAUAAUUGAUUGCUUUGUUUAACAUAUAAAACACCAGCGAAAAAAAGGUUUCCUUCGCUUUUCUUUGCCACUGCGUUUUCAAACGAUUGGUUGUGAGUAGGAUCGACUUUGGGGGAUUCGAUGAGACCAAUUUCACUUGCCGGGACAUCUUUAACCAUAUUAUCACCCACCGGUAUCUUGACAUGAGUGGUCCUCUACCCUUUGCCGUCGUUCCACGCGACCCCCCCCCCCCCUUCUCCAUUAUAGUUUAGAAUUGCACAUCUAAACAUAAUUUGUGACGUGUGUGUCAUCACGCUUAAAUGAAAUGUUUGGUUUUGUUUUUCUUUUCAUUUAGUCACAUUAGAUUCUCCCAUUUCAGGAAAUGGAAGAAUUUUCUUGGGACUUAGAAAAUUCGAAGUUUAUUAACAGUACGAACAUCCAAUCUUGUUACCAGUUUCAUUGUUUUUUUAAGCAAAGAAAAUUAAUGUUACAUUUUUCUCUCUCUUCCUUGAAAUGUCACUCGUAAGUUACGAAUUCGCCAUUCCAGUCCUUUCAGUUAUUUGGCAAAUUUGAACAGGGUUUUCACGGGAAAGGGCAUUUUUAGCGAUGGUAUGCCUUCUGUAAAUUUUGGUUUGCAAUAGGCAUUGUUUCGCUUUAUAAACAAUUUAUUAUCCUUGUAUAGUAAUUACCCACCACUAAAGAGAUCCCUUAAGGUUUUCAACUUUCAACGCAACAAUUUAUUCUUUUUUUUAUUUGUAGGUCUAAUGAUGAUUUAGGUAUUAGAAACUAUUUGCAUAUAUUAUUCUGAAAGAUAUUUUCGUUCGUUUUUUCCCGACUCUGCUCAGUAUAUUUUAAUUUCCCGUCGCUGUUGUGUCUGUGCAACUGCCACUA